GCCGGGCGUGGUGGCGCAUGCCUGUAGUCUCAACUACUAGGGAGGCUGAGGCAGGAGAAUCGCUUGAACCCAGGAGGCGGAUGUUGCAGUGAGCCGAGAUCGCGCCACUGCACUCCAGCCUGGGUGACAGAGCGAGACUCUGUCUCAA
rnacentral:SRP_RNA from 1 species